UCUCAAUACAGUAAAUUAGUAGAUUAGUGCAAGAAAAUACUGUAGUUCUUUUUAACAUAAAUUACCAGUCAAAAGGUUUCCGACACCCCCCUUUUUCCAUUUUCUAUAGAAAUGCAAGCGUUCCAGUCCAGUGAAUAACCUGAAAAAGUACAAAGUCUGAUAGAGCUUGAGAGGAUCUACAAGGAAAAAUGGGAGAAACUACCCAAAUCCAAAUGUACACACCGAAGAAGAUUGAGAAUGCACCCGCAGGGAAGAAAUGAUUCUGAGGGACCAGAGGCAUUAGCCCAACUGACCCUGACUCCUACUGAUGUUCCCCCUCAGCCCACUUCAUCUGCUCCCCGGCAGCCAUAACUACACCAGUGACCCGGAGGGGACGUCCCAGGGCCACAAGGAGCAGGUCCCUACCCAGACAAUCUCGUGGGGGUUCACGAUCUCGUUCCCCAGUCCAGACUCAAGCAGCACAGCCUGCCCUCUGGCCCUGGUCUGGCAUCUGAUUCAUUGGCCAACCUAAUGAAUCCUGAGUUCUUAAGCACCGGUUAUCACUUGUCCUGUGAUCAUUCCCACCCCAGCCCAGGGUUAUUCAGACGUCUACUAUCCUUGCAGUUUGGAAAAUGUGGGACCAUCCGGGAGGGAAGGAAGGAUGCUCCGAAACCUACAGAGAACGCUAUGGACAAUUCAUCUCAACUAGUUUCUAUGAGUUGGAUUAGAGAAAACAUCUUUUUACAAAAUGGAAGGACAGCCGUGAGGUCUCCAUUCCAUGUGUAGCAGUAUUCACCCCUCUGUACUACGAAGACAAACAAGAAAGGAUGGAACCCGGGAGAGAGUGACCAUUCCCGUCCACACACCUGUUGUUGAAUACAAGUACGUGGGAGGGUGGACCUAUCACACAAACUCAUACAGCCCGUCCCAUAAGCCCGAGCUACAUCAAUGAUGCUUGUGCGGAUGACAUAGACCCAGAACCGACUCAAAAGGCCACAAAAGGGCAUUGAAGAUGUGCAAGGUGCCAUGGACUUGGAUUGGAAAACAAAACACCAUGGAAGUGCAAGGACUGCAAUGUGCCUCCCUGCCUGGUUGUAGACCGAAAUCGGUUCAGUGAGUGGCACGCAUAAAAAAAAAGACGUUCUGUGUGAUCACUUCAGUUAGUGAGGUUAUAUCAAUCUACUGUGGGAAACAUUACAUUUGGUCUAAAACGUAUGUUGACCAUGAUGCAAUUAAAAUGCAAAAAAACUGUGAAAUAGAUUUUUUCUUUGUAAUGGGCAAUGUUCACUGAAUGAAAUAUCAAGUGAACUAAAAGCUCUGUAAGUCAUAUUUGGUGCAUUUAGAGUUGUUUUAACACUAAACUCCCUAACAUUUUCACAUGCGUUUUGAUUUUUUUCCCCUUAUA